rnacentral:rRNA from 1 species
GAGUAACACGUAUCCAACCUGCCGUCUACUCUUGGACAGCCUUCUGAAGGAAGAUUAAUACAAGAUGGCAUCAUGAGUCCGCAUGUUCACAUGAUUAAAGGUAUUCCGGUAGACGAUGGGGAUGCGUUCCAUUAGAUAGUAGGCGGGGUAACGGCCCACCUAGUCUUCGAUGGAUAGGGGUUCUGAGAGGAAGGUCCCCCACAUUGGAACUGAGACACGGUCCAAACUCCUACGGGAGGCAGCAUG